AUUGAACGCUGGCGGCAGGCCUAACACAUGCAAGUCGAGCGGAUGAAGGGAGCUUGCUCCUGGAUUCAGCGGCGGACGGGUGAGUAAUGCCUAGGAAUCUGCCUGGUAGUGGGGGAUAACGUCCGGAAACGGGCGCUAAUACCGCAUACGUCCUGAGGGAGAAAGUGGGGGAUCUUCGGACCUCACGCUAUCAGAUGAGCCUAGGUCGGAUUAGCUAGUUGGUGGGGUAAAGGCCUACCAAGGCGACGAUCCGUAACUGGUCUGAGAGGAUGAUCAGUCACACUGGAACUGAGACACGGUACAGACUCCUACGGGAGGCCGCAGUGGGGAAUAUUGGACGAUGGGCGAAAGCCUGAUCCAGCCAUGCCGCGUGUGUGAAGAAGGUCUUCGGAUUGUAAAGCACUUUAAGUUGGGAGGAAGGGCAGUAAGUUAAUACCUUGCUGUUUUGACGUUACCAACAGAAUAAGCACCGGCUAACUUCGUG
rnacentral:rRNA from 1 species